rnacentral:lncRNA from 1 species
GGAAUUGUUCAUCCGUUGGGACUUGUUGGAAGGAGUUGCAUCUAAGUCGGGGUUAAGGGCAUAUAGUCUUUCAAUUUGAUUUUAGACGAUCUUCACCUCUUGAGCUAGUUUUGGGGCUCAACGUUCAUAGCGUAACACGAUUAAGAGCCCGGCACAUCUCAAUUCAUUGUUUACCCAUACCUGAUAUGUUGAGCCCCAAUCUUAUGUUG